AGUGAACGCUGGCGGUAGGCCUAACACAUGCAAGUCGAACGGCAGCACAGUAAGAGCUUGCUCUUACGGGUGGCGAGUGGCGGACGGGUGAGGAAUACAUCGGAAUCUAUUUUUUCGUGGGGGAUAACGUAGGGAAACUUACGCUAAUACCGCAUACGACCUACGGGUGAAAGCAGGGGAUCUUCGGACCUUGCGCGACUGAAUGAGCCGAUGUCGGAUUAGCUAGUUGGCGGGGUAAAGGCCCACCAAGGCGACGAUCCGUAGCUGGUCUGAGAGGAUGAUCAGCCACACUGGAACUGAGACACGGUCCAGACUCCUACGGGAGGCAGCAGUGGGGAAUAUUGGACAAUGGGCGCAAGCCUGAUCCAGCCAUACCGCGUGGGUGAAGAAGGCCUUCGGGUUGUAAAGCCCUUUUGUUGGGAAAGAAAAGCAGCAGGUUAAUACCCCGCUGUUCUGACGGUACCCAAAGAAUAAGCACCGGCUAACUUCGUG
rnacentral:rRNA from 1 species